GAUGAAGAACGUAGCGAAUUGCGAUAAGUAAUGUGAAUUGCAGAAUUCCGUGAAUCAUCGAAUCUUUGAACGCACAUUGCGCCCCCUGGUAUUCCGGGGGGCAUGCCUGUCCGAGCGUCAUUGCAACCUUCAAGCGCGGCUUGUGUGUUGGGUCUCGUCCCCCGUGGACGGGCCCGAAAGGCAGUGGCGGCGUCCCGACAUGGUGCCCGAGCGUAUGGGAAUCCUCUUCCGCUCGAAUCGGCCCAUGCGGCGCUGGUCGUAACCAAAUUUUUUACCGGUUGACCUCGGAUCAGGUAGGGAUACCCGCUGAAUUUAAGCAUAUCAAUAAGCGGAGGA
rnacentral:misc_RNA from 1 species